rnacentral:rRNA from 1 species
GCUGAUCAGCAUGCCGCGUGAGUGAUGAGGCCUUUGGGUUGUAAAGCUCUUUCGCCAGGGAAGAUAAUGACAGUACCUGGAGAAAAGCCACGGCUAAGUCCGUGCCAGCAGCCGCGGUAAU